AUUCUCAUACAGUUGCAUAGAGCUCUUGGUAAUUGUUUUCUAAAAACUUGCUAGCAUAUAAGGUUUUAUAGCUACAUACCACAAUUUGAUUUGUGAAAAUGGAAUUGAGCACCUCUCACUGUGUUAUGCAUUUGUUUCACUGCCAUGUGUUUAGUAGAUCAUGAACUGAUGCAUUCAAGGGAUCUCCAAAAGCUGGAAGGCACUCUUUCUCCUUUGCAUUUGGAGGAAAUGGAUCUGGCCCGAUCUUUAAGGCAAAAUAAAUUCAGAAUUAAAUUAUGUGAGAAAAAAUCCUCAGAAGGUGGAAACCGGGGUGGUUCUCUUAACAAAAAGCUCAAAAAGGAUAAGCUUGUAGGUCCAACAGGGAAAAAUACCAAAUCCGAAACAAGCAUGGUUUCUGCGGCACCUCGUGUGAAACCGGAGCUAACCCUUCCAGCAACGUAAUUUUUUCCUCUUUGUAAAUUUCUCUAUGAGAAGCUCAGUUUGAUCUACAGUUCUAAAUAAUUCCUCAACUGUAGCCUUUGAAAAAUAUAAAUACCAUUCCUAUAACUGAA